AUCGAGAUUUAUGGUUCCGUCGAUCGAUCGUGAAAACUCGUGCGAGCAUUCGACGAGAUACCACGUGUCUGUUGAUAUCCGUUUUCAAUUUUUACGUCAUUUUGUACUCCUGGUGUAUGUUUUUUACGCGAUCGGCUUAUAGGUUCCGGGUUUCUUUUUCAGAACAGACUGAUUAUUUUAAGAAUAAUGGAAAAUACGUGAAAAUUACCUAGGAAAGUAGUUUCAAUUUAGACAAUUUAAUUUGUUUAGUGAGUAUCAGCUAUGAGAAUUAGAUAUGAUUGGAAUUAUAGGUGGAGAUAGGAGGAUAAUAGUGGAACAGAAAUUAUUCUAUUCGCGCCAUAUUUGAUUUGUAUUCACUAUAAAUAAGAAAUUAAGAUGUUUAUAGUGAACUAUAGUAACUAGAGUAGGGAUGUUUAUGAAAAUUCACAUUUCUAUGGAUAAAACUCAUAUAAAGAUUAGUUUUAGUCUCUAAGUAUCAUAAACAAUAUUUUGGAUAUCCUUGCACAUUAUAUGUAUUCUGUACAUCUGUAUAUAUCUAUGUGUUUAUACGUUUAAAUUUCCCAUAAACGCAUAAUAGAUAUAUGCAUAUCGCUACACACGAGGCACAAAUGACAUUCGAAGUCUGAUAAGCAAAAGAAUCGGGUCUAAUGCACGGAACCGACUCGUGGAUGCGCAUUUUAGCUUUAACCAUGAAGCGUACAUCAUGAGCCUAGCUCGCACAAAAAAGAAAAACUCACGAUAACAUCAGAAAGAACCUUUAUGAAAUUUGGAAUACAUACAUUUUCUAAAGAUUACGGUCUAAAAGCAUUUCGUAGAAUUUGUCUAUUAUACAACGUACACGAUUGCUUUGUAUCCUAUCAAUCUCCAGUGUGCAAGCAAAUAUUCUGUUACCAGAAUACGAUACUCCGAAAUGAGUACACUCUGAAUUCCUAUAACAAUAAGCAAUUCGUUAUGCAUAAUAUAGAUCAUGUACUUCAAAUAUACAACGAGAAGAUCAAAAUAAUAACAUUAAAGGUUCAAUAAAUAAGUUUCACAGAUUGAUGGAUUAUCAAUCGGUGGUUCAAUGACUCGAUUCUGCUAAGCAACGGAUUAAUUGAGGCGCGCCGGUAAUUCCGCUGGUAGAAUUUGCGGAAGUUCGCCAGGAAGGGUAUCCACGUGCGUUACGUGGAUACGACGUUCAAAACCGACACGGUGGUCCCGGAAUCUUGGCUCGAGAAACUCCAACGGUCCGAGUCCGCGCCGUUCGUAUUUCGAAUUAACAUCGCGACUCCGAACCCACGGCUAUAUUCGUUGGCCUUUGUUGGAACGCACGACUCGGUGGAACAUGGGUAAAGAUAGCCACAUUUCGUGGCAAAUGCUCGUGGUUUCGGGUCACGAUGACCUUGAAAGUAAUUAUCGACCAUUGCAUGAAUCGGUACAAACGGAUUUCUCCUCGAGUCUGCUUUUACUGAAAUUUUCUCAACGUACUAAUUUCGUAUUUUUAUUUGAUUAGUGGAAUUUACGCAACUGAUAUUUUAUUUACUUACGCUGGGCGUAGCUGCCGUUAAAAAAUUAUUAUCCUCCUGCUUCGCUGAACAGUCGAGAAGUUUAAGAAGAGUUAAAUCGUAACUUUUAAAUGUUGUGCGAGUUAAAAGGGAUUCGAAGCAAACACCGAGUGCGGUUUUAAGAUAUCACUCUGCCGCGACUGCUAUUUUGGAGAACAAUAAAAUUUUCAGGAAACCACGCAGAAUUCCUGUCAGAGAUCACAUCAUUCACUGGUCUCUGGAAAGUUUAUAGACAGCGUGAUUUCUACGACGUGGUUCAACGCAGCUAACGUGCUUUAACGACGAUUGAAAUUACCGAGUGUAUCCGACGGGAAUAUCUCUGGAUCUCGCCCUCGAUGUCAUAAAUAGCAGAUUCAUCUAAAAAGGAGUUGCAAGCUGGCAAACGCGUUAUUAAGGACGAGUUGACGCUUUAAAACCAUCGAGCUAUUUAGCCGCCACGCUGCAUGCAAACUCUGGAAUUAUGUAGCAUCCCAACAUAUUCGACUAAUAGAUAAAUUUAUGCGUUUUAAAAACACAGUAAGAAUGAUUGAGAGAAUUUAUUAAACUAUUCGUAUCGCGAUUGUCUGAUUAGCUGGCUUAGGAGAAUGAGUCAAUCAGCACACAGCCGAACGGUCCGAUCAUCAAUGAAUUUUUUACUAACGCUUUAUAUAUUAAGAAACUAUCUAUUUAGGUAACUAUUCGUAUUUAUGUGUAGUUUACUUUGUGACAGACCAAGAAACAAAUUCAACGAGCACUAAUCAGACAAAAAGUGAAAAGAAUAAGACAAAUCCAAAAAGUGUUCUGAAAGUGAUACUGCGUGUACCGGUCUAUUUCAUAGUGUUAUAUAUUUUAGAAAAAUGUCAAACCUCUCUUCAAGGUUCCUUCCAUCAAUACUGCACGCCAUAACUAUGAUACCAACUCCAUUAUAGGAGAUAAUAUAAACA